GGGUUUGGGUUCUGGUUUAGGCAUCGGUUCAGGCUUGGGCUCGGGUUUUGGUUCAGGUUUAGGCAUGGGCUUAGGCAUGGGCUCAGGCUUUGGUUCUGGUUUAGGCAUUGGCUUAGGCUUGGGUUCGGGUUUUGGCUCUGGUUUGGGCAUUGGCUCAGGCUUGGGUUCUGGUUUAGGCAUGGGCUCAGGCUUUGGUUCCGGUUUAAUUGGCUCAGGCUUCGGUUCCGGCUUAGGCAUUGGCUCGGGCUUGGGCUCAGGUUUUGGCUCAGGUUUAGGCAUUGGCUCGGGUUUGGGCUCAGGUUUAGGCUCAGGUUUAGGCACUGGCUCAGGCUUAGGCUCGGGUUUAGGCUCAGGUUUAGGCACUGGCUUAGGCAUGGGCUCGGGUUUUGGUUCCGGUUUAGGCAUUGGCUCAGGUUUGGGCUCGGGUUUAGGCUCGGGUUUAGGCAUUGGCUUAGGCAUGGGCUCGGGUUUUGGUUCCGGUUUGGGCAUGGGCUCUGGUUUUGGCUCGGGUUUUGGCAUUGGCUUAGGCAUGGGCUCUGGUUUUGGUUCCGGUUUAG
rnacentral:lncRNA from 1 species